rnacentral:rRNA from 1 species
GAUGAACGCUGGCGGCGUGCCUAAUACAUGCAAGUCGAGCGAACAGACGAGGAGCUUGCUCCUUUGACGUUAGCGGCGGACGGGUGAGUAACACGUGGGUAACCUACCUAUAAGACUGGGAUAACUUCGGGAAACCGGAGCUAAUACCGGAUAAUAUUUCGAACCGCAUGGUUCGAUAGUGAAAGAUGGCUUUGCUAUCACUUAUAGAUGGACCUGCGCCGUAUUAGCUAGUUGGUAAGGUAACGGCUUACCAAGGCAACGAUACGUAGCCGACCUGAGAGGAUGAUGAGAGACAAUGGGAAUGAGACACGGGAAAGACUCCUACGGGAGGCAGCAGUAGGGAAUUUUGGACAAAGGGCGAAAGCAUGAUCCAGCCAUGCCGAGUGAAGGAUGAAGGACGUAGGGUUGUAAACUGAUGUUGUAAGGAAAGAAAAGAAGAUGUCGAAGACGGAGGGGUCGUGACGGUACCGUAAGAAUAAGCACCGGCUAACUACGUG